AUACAUGGGAGAUUAAAAGCUUCAACCUUGAGUGAUCACAGUUUUUGAGAAUCAGGAUGAGGCAUUAAAGAGGAGGAGUGUCCCAAGGGAGGUAAACUGGAGGCAAAGCAAGGAUGUCUGACUUGAAAGUGAGUUGCUGUCUACAAUAUACAAGAAGAGCCAAGGAAGAGCAGUGAGGAGCUCAUUCCCAAGAUCAUGGCCACAGGAGGUGUCACCAACCAACUGCCUCGAGGAACUCAAAGGAGGUUUUGGAAGCACUUAAUUGUUUAUUCAGUUAUGUUAAGAGAUGCAAUUACCAACUGCCCUGACAUAGUCCAAAUACUGCUGCGAGUGAUGCCUGAGUAGAAGGGCUGAGAAGUGUCCAAGAGUUACCUUUGUGUCAUUUUAAUGUUAAGAUCUCCACCCCAGGAGGAGCUUAAGCCUUAUUAGCAUAACAUGUAAUGUAUGUGAAAGCACAUUUUCAGACUACACCCGCACGAGCUGAUUCCCACCUCUACAUGUGAUGAAGAAACUUCCCUUUUGAAUAUUCACUCCCCAUCCGAAAUAAAUGGUAUCUGUUUUGCCUUGCUUGGGUGCCACAGCUUUGGAA